UGGGGAAUUUUGGACAAUGGGGGCAACCCUGAUCCAGCAAUGCCGCGUGAGUGAAGAAGGCCUUCGGGUUGUAAAGCUCUUUUGUCAGGGAAGAAAAGGUCGUGGCUAAUAUCCACGACUGCUGACGGUACCUGAAGAAUAAGCAUCGGCUAACUUCGUGCCAGCAGCCGCGGUAAGACGAAGGAUGCAAGCGUUAUCCGGAUUCAUUGGGUUUAAAGGGAGCGUAGGCGGACUUAUAAGUCAGUGGUGAAAUCUCCGAGCUUAACUCGGAAACUGCCAUUGAUACUGUAGGUCUAGAGUACAGUUGCCGUUGGCGGAAUAUGACAUGUAGUGGUGAAAUACUUAGAUAUGUCAUAGAACACCGAUUGCGAAGGCAGCUAACGAAGCUGUAACUGACGCUGAGGCUCGAAAGUGCGGGGAUCAAACAGGAUUAGAUACCCUGGUAGUCCGCACUGUAAACGAUGAUUACUCGUUGCUGGGGAGCAAUUUCCAGUGACCAAGCGAAAGCGAUAAGUAAUCCACCUGGGGAGUACGCCGGCAACGGUG
rnacentral:rRNA from 1 species